GCCUAGGUGGCGGAAUAGGUAGACGCAUCGGACUUAAAAUCCGCUGACAUUUAUGUCGUGCGAGUUCAAGUCUCGCUCUAGGUA
rnacentral:tRNA from 1 species